UACGUAGGUGGCGAGCGUUGUCCGGAUUUACUGGGCGUAAAGAGCGCGCAGGCGGUCGUUCAAGUCGCGUGUGAAAGUCCCCGGCUCAACUGGGGAGGGUCACGCGAUACUGAUCGACUCGAAGGCAGGAGAGGGAAGUGGAAUUCCCGGUGUAGUGGUGAAAUGCGUAGAUAUCGGGAGGAACACCAGUGGCGAAGGCGACUUCCUGGCCUGUUCUUGACGCUGAGGCGCGAAAGCUAGGGGAGCAAACGGG
rnacentral:rRNA from 1 species